rnacentral:rRNA from 2 species
UGGGGAAUAUUGGACAAUGGGCGCAAGCCUGAUCCAGCCAUGCCGCGUGGGUGAAGAAGGCCUUAGGGUUGUAAACCCCUUUCAGCGGGGAAGAUAAUGACGGUACCCGCAGAAGAAGUCCCGGCUAACUCCGUGCCAGCAGCCGCGGUAAUACGGAGGGGACUAGCGUUGUUCGGAAUUACUGGGCGUAAAGCGCACGUAGGCGGAUUUGUAAGUCAGGGGUGAAAUCCCGGGGCUCAACCUCGGAACUGCCUUUGAUACUGCAAAUAUCGAGUCCGGAAGAGGUGAGUGGAAUUCCUAGUGUAGAGGUGAAAUUCGUAGAUAUUAGGAAGAACACCAGUGGCGAAGGCGGCUCACUGGUCCGGUACUGACGCUGAGGUGCGAAAGCGUGGGGAGCAAACAGG